UACGUAGGCAGCGAGCGUUGUUCGGAGUUACUGGGCGUAAGGAGUGCGUAGGCGGUUUUCUAAGUUUGGUGUGAAAUCUCCCGGCUUAACUGGGAGGGUGCGCCGAAGACUGGAAGGCUUGAGUAUGGGAGAGGUAAGCGGAAUUCCUGGUGUAGCGGUGAAAUGCGUAGAUAUCAGGAGGAACACCUGCGGUGUAGACGGCUUACUGGACCAUCACUGACGCUGAGGCACGAAAGCGUGGGUAGCAAACAGG
rnacentral:rRNA from 1 species